GACGAACGCUGGCGGCGUGCCUAAUACAUGCAAGUCGAACGCUCUUUCUUUCGCCGGAGCUUGCUCCACCGAAAGAAAAAGAGUGGCGAACGGGUGAGUAACACGUGGGUAACCUGCCCAUCAGAAGGGGAUAACACUUGGAAACAGGUGCUAAUACCGUAUAACACUAUUUUCCGCAUGGAAGAAAGUUGAAAGGCGCUUUUGCGUCACUGAUGGAUGGACCCGCGGUGCAUUAGCUAGUUGGUGAGGUAACGGCUCACCAAGGAAACGAUGCAUAGCCGACCUGAGAGGGGGAUCGGCCACACUGGGACUGAGACACGGCCCAGACUCCUACGGGAGGCAGCAGUAGGGAAUCUUCGGCAAUGGACGAAAGUCUGACCGAGCAACGCCGCGUGAGUGAAGAAGGUUUUCGGAUCGUAAAACUCUGUUGUUAGAGAAGAACAAGGAUGAGAGUAAAAUGCUCAUCCCUUGACGGUAUCUAACCAGAAAGCCACGGCUAACUACGUGCCAGCAGCCGCCGUAA
rnacentral:rRNA from 1 species